GGUUCCAUAGUGUAGCGGUUAUCACGUCUGCUUUACACGCAGAAGGUCUUCAGUUCGAUCCUGGAUGGAACCA
rfam:Anopheles epiroticus strain epiroticus2 unplaced genomic scaffold supercont1.81, whole genome shotgun sequence.